rnacentral:rRNA from 1 species
AUUGAACGCUGGCGGCGUGCCUAACACAUGCAAGUCGAGCGGUAACAGGUGUAGCAAUACAUGCUGACGAGCGGCGAACGGGUGAGUAAUGCUUCGGAAUCUACCUUAUGGUGGGGAAUAACUAGCCGAAAGGUUAGCUAAUACCGCAUACGUCCUACGGGAGAAAGCAGGGGAUCGCAAGACCUUGCGCCAAAAGAUGAGCCGAAGUCGGAUUAGCUAGUUGGUAGGGUAACGGCCUACCAAGGCGACGAUCCGUAGCUGGUCUGAGAGGACGACCAGCCACACUGGGACUGAGACACGGCCCAGACUCCUACGGGAGGCAGUAGUGGGGAAGACUGGACAAUGGGGGAAACCCUGAUCCAGCGACGCCGCGUGUGUGAAGAAGGCUUGCGGGUUGUAAAGCACUUUUAGUGGGGAUGAAAUGUGCAGGGUUAAUACCUCUGCAUUUUGACCUAACCCACAGAAAAAGCACCGGCUAACUCUGUGCCAGCAGCCGCGGUAA